UACGUAGGGUGCAAGCGUUAAUCGGAAUUACUGGGCGUAAAGCGUGCGCAGGCGGUUUUGUAAGUCUGACGUGAAAUCCCCGGGCUCAACCUGGGAAUUGCGUUGGAGACUGCAAGGCUAGAGUGUGUCAGAGGGGGGUAGAAUUCCACGUGUAGCAGUGAAAUGCGUAGAGAUGUGGAGGAACACCGAUGGCGAAGGCAGCCCCCUGGGUCAAGAUUGACGCUCAUGCACGAAAGCGUGGGGAGCGAACAGG
rnacentral:rRNA from 1 species